rnacentral:rRNA from 1 species
CCUACGGGGCGCAGCAGUGAGGAAUAUUGGACAAUGGGGGCAACCCUGACCCAGCCAUGCCGCGUGAGUGAAGAAGGUCUUCGGUAUGUAAAGCUCUUUCGGACGGGACGAUGAUGACGGUAGCGUCCUAAGAAGCACCGGCAAACUUCGUGCCAGCAGCCGCGGUAAUACGUAGGGGGCGAGCGUUGUCCGGAAUUACUGGGCGUAAAGGGAGCGUAGGCGGGUAUGUAAGAUAGCAGUGAAAUGCCGGGGCUCAACCCCGGAACUGCCUUUAUGACUGUGUAGCUAGAGUACUGGAGAGGUAAGCGGAAUACCCGGUGUAGAGGUGAAAUUCGUAGAUAUUGGGUAGAACACCGGUGGCGAAGGCGGCUAUCUGGACAUUUACUGACGCUGAGGCUCGAAAGCGUGGGGAUCAAACAGGAUUAGAUACCCCUGUAGUC